rnacentral:rRNA from 1 species
UACGAAGGGGGCUAGCGUUGCUCGGAAUCACUGGGCGUAAAGGGUGCGUAGGCGGGUCUUUAAGUCAGGGGUGAAAUCCUGGAGCUCAACUCCAGAACUGCCUUUGAUACUGAAGAUCUUGAGUUCGGGAGAGGUGAGUGGAACUGCGAGUGUAGAGGUGAAAUUCGUAGAUAUUCGCAAGAACACCAGUGGCGAAGGCGGCUCACUGGCCCGGUACUGACGCUGAGGCGCGAAAGCGUGGGGAGCAAACAGG